GCAUUUGAAUUACCCGAGUUUGUGCAUAUGUGAAGCAUCCUUGUGAAGCUUGUACUACCCCUUUCUACCACCACAGCUCUUACAUGUGUGCUUUCCUUUACAGGAUUGGAAAGAUUUUGGAGACUGAAGAGGUUGUAGAGGCUCUGAUGGAAGGAAUAGUGACCAACCAGAAAAUGGUUUUUGUUCCACCACAGCUAAAUAUUGCUUUGCUUUCUGAAAUGGUGUUUCCAGAACGUGCCCUGAAUGUUCUGAAGAAGCUCACGGUUCCAAAGUUUGAUGCAAUCAUUGGGCAGAGAAGCACCCAGUGAAGCCAAGAAUUGAUUCUCGUUUUGCAGUGGCAUGAGUGAAAACAACGUGUGCUGAGGGUAGUUCAGCUGGUUUGAUACAGAACUAAGACAGGUGCUUCCAGGCUACCAUUUCCAAGCACACAGGAGGGUUUAUCCCACACCUGCAGCAGGAAUAUAUCUGCAUAAUAUGAAAUGUUAGCAAAGCAGAGAUGCUUUGCUAGAAAGGCUGCUUUGAAUGUAUGUCACAUCGCCUCUGUCUCGUAGUGUUGAGGCAGACAGGAAUUCCCACAAAGCCUGUAUUUGGGACAGCACAGCUGCCUAUUUGAGUGCCAAGGGAUUGCCUGAAAAUAUGUUAACAUGGACUCAUUCCUGAGCAAAAGCGUCUUGCAAGAAAAAGUUUAUACAGCAGGUAGGUGGCCUGUUUCACCUCAAUUUAUCUUUUAAAUGUAA